rnacentral:ncRNA from 2 species
UAUUGUCGCUGGGGGUGCCAUGUGGCUGAGAAAAAACAAUUAGUUUUUACCCUUUGAACCUGACUUGGUUAAUACCUACGUAGGGAAGUUUAGAAAAGGAUUA